UUCUGGUUAGACACUAGUGUUGAGAUGUCUGUCUGUCAUGAUAGCAUGUACUGAGUCGGGGCCAGUACCAGAUAAGCACAUUAAACUAUAAUCCAUAAACGUAAGGUAACAACCGAGACCUAAUGGUGCUGUGACAGCAAUGCUGUGAUUGAGUUUGAGACAGUGAAAAUACAUAUGGUAUGUUGUAUCUGAACAGGUUAGCUUACGAGCUAAAGUUACUUAGCACAG